rnacentral:rRNA from 1 species
GAUGAACGCUGGCGGCGUGCCUAAUACAUGCCAGUCGAGCGAACGGACGAGAAGCUUGCUUCUCUGAUGUUAGCGGCGGACGGGUGAGUAACACGUGGAUAACCUACCUAUAAGACUGGGAUAACUUCGGGAAACCGGAGCUAAUACCGGAUAAUAUUUUGAACCGCAUGGUUCAAAAGUGAAAGACGGUCUUGCUGUCACUUAUAGAUGGAUCCGCGCUGCAUUGGCUAGUUGGUAAGGUAACGGCUUACCAAGGCAACGAUGCAUAGCCGACCUGAGAGGGUGAUCGGCCACACUGGAACUGAGACACGGUCCAGACUCCUACGGGAGGCAGCAGUAGGGAAUCUUCCGCAAUGGGCGAAAGCCUGACGGAGCAACGCCGCGUGAGUGAUGAAGGUCUUCGGAUCGUAAAACUCUGUUAUUAGGGAAGAACAUAUGUGUAAGUAACUGUGCACAUCUUGACGGUACCUAAUCAGAAAGCCACGGCUAACUACGUG